AAGUCUGCACAAGAGCUACACCACACAAAUAAUCAAAAAACUGGCACAGAAAUGGCAUCAAGAAACCUCAGUCAAACAAGAAAGGCCUGAAGAAGAUGCAGGCCAGCAAUGCAAACGGAGUGAGCAUACCACAGAGGCCAUCAAGGCCCUGGUGAAGCCUAAGGCCGUCAAGCCCAAGAUGCCAAAGGGCCCCAGUCGCAAACCCAGCUGGCUCACUUUCAUCACUCACCCCAAGCUUGGGAAGUGGAUUCAAAGCUAUAUGGUAAGGGCCAUAGGCUCUACCAACCAAAGUCCAAGGUUCAUAGCACGGCAGAGGCUUUAGCUUCAGCUCAGGUUCUCAGUGUGCCCAGAACCCUGUAAAGGCCCUAUAGAAAAAGGGUUCUACCUGCCAAUGUAAAG
rnacentral:lncRNA from 1 species